AACGAACGCUGGCGGCAUGCCUAACACAUGCAAGUCGAACGAGACCUUCGGGUCUAGUGGCGCACGGGUGCGUAACGCGUGGGAACCUGCCCUUAGGUUCGGAAUAACUCCCCGAAAGGGGUGCUAAUACCGGAUAAUGUCUUCGGACCAAAGAUUUAUCGCCUUUGGAUGGGCCCGCGUUGGAUUAGCUAGUUGGUAGGGUAAAAGCCUACCAAGGCGACGAUCCAUAGCUGGUCUGAGAGGAUGAUCAGCCACACUGGGACUGAGACACGGCCCAGACUCCUACGGGAGGCAGCAGUGGGGAAUAUUGGACAAUGGGCGAAAGCCUGAUCCAGCAAUGCCGCGUGAGUGAUGAAGGCCUUAGGGUUGUAAAGCUCUUUUACCCGGGAUGAUAAUGACAGUACCGGGAGAAUAAGCGCCGGCUAAGUCCGUG
rnacentral:rRNA from 1 species